rnacentral:lncRNA from 1 species
GCAGAAGAUGGGCAGAGUCUGCAUGUGGCUGCAGGACCUCUGUCAGAGAAUGAAACACUCAUCGCAUGAAUUGACAAAGAGUAAAGGAGAAUUUGCUGAAAUACUUAUUUAAAGUCUAGUACUAAGCUGUCGGGUACCAUAGUCACUAGCUACACAUUGCUACUGAGCACCUGAAACAUGGCUAUUCUGAAUUGAGAUGUGCUGUAAGUAUAAAAAAUUCUGAAUUUGAAGUCUUAGUUUAAAAAAUGUAAAAUAUAUCAUUAAUACAUUUUAUAUUAAUUGCAUGUUGAAAUGA